CCGGUUACAAAUACAGGCGCUGCGUCAAACCGUGGUUCACUAAUGCCUUUGAAAUCGGCGAGGUUUUAUUUCUGCUGUGGGGUGUUUGGCUUUGUAUCCGUGUACGAAAUGCUCCCUCGGCGUACAACGAGAGCAAGUACAUCGCCUGGUGUAUAUAUAACACUCUGUUUGUUAAGAUCGUAGUUGGUCUUCUGAGAAUUGUUCUAGAUAACUUUCACAAUCCUGAUGUGGCGUAUGUCGUAAACAGUUUGUCAACGCAUGUCAUUGCCACCGUUAUGUUGGUUUUGCUCUUUGCUUUCAAGGUAAUGGUUGUACUGUUAACUUAGUAUUAAUUA